rnacentral:rRNA from 1 species
GCUAUCACUCUUGGAUGGACCUGCGGUGCAUUAGCUAGUUGGUAAGGUAACGGCUUACCAAGGCAAUGAUGCAUAGCCGAGUUGAGAGACUGAUCGGCCACAUUGGGACUGAGACACGGCCCAAACUCCUACGGGAGGCAGCAGUAGGGAAUCUUCCACAAUGGACGAAAGUCUGAUGGAGCAACGCCGCGUGAGUGAAGAAGGGUUUCGGCUCGUAAAGCUCUGUUGGUAGUGAAGAAAGAUAGAGGUAGUAACUGGCCUUUAUUUGACGGUAAUUACUUAGAAAGUCACGGCUAACUACGUGCCAGCAGCCGCGGUAAUACGUAGGUGGCAAGCGUUGUCCGGAUUUAUUGGGCGUAAAGCGAGUGCAGGCGGUUCAAUAAGUCUGAUGUGAAAGCCUUCGGCUCAACCGGAGAAUUGCAUCAGAAACUGUUGAACUUGAGUGCAGAAGAGGAGAGUGGAACUCCAUGUGUAGCGGUGGAAUGCGUAGAUAUAUGGAAGAACACCAGUGGCGAAGGCGGCUCUCUGGUCUGCAACUGACGCUGAGGCUCGAAAGCAUGGGUAGCGAACAGGAUUAGAUACCCUGGUAGUCCAUGCCGUAAACGAUGAGUGCUAAGUGUUGGGAGGUUUCCGCCUCUCAGUGCU